rfam:Duganella sp. Root198D2 contig_22, whole genome shotgun sequence.
GGGUCGUUAGCUCAGUUGGUAGAGCAGCGGACUUUUAAUCCGUUGGUCGCAGGUUCGAGCCCCGCACGGCCUA